UCAUGCACUAUUCUCCGAGCUCUUUUACCUUCCCUUUAUGGUGGUAAAAAAGUCUGGGAUAAGUUGGAAACGACUUAUCCUCCCGCGCCAGCAAAUUCUGGCAAAUUGGAAAGGAGGUGAUUAAUAAAAGC
rnacentral:ncRNA from 2 species